CCCUUAGAUGUUCUGGGCUGCACGCGCGCUACACUGAUGCGCUCAACGAGUUUACGACCUUGCCCGGAAGGGUUGGGUAAUCUUUUUAAAACGCAUCGUGAUGGGGAUAGAUUAUUGCAAUUAUUAAUCUUUAACGAGGAAUUCCUAGUAAGCGCGAGUCAUCAGCUCGUGCUGAUUACGUCCCUGCCCUUUGUACACACCGCCCGUCGCUACUACCGAUUGAAUGGUUUAGUGAGAUCCUUGGAUCGGCCCUGUCGCGGCUGGCAACGGCCGCGUCGGCGCGUCGAGAAGACGAUCAAACUUGAUCAUUUAGAGGAAGUAAAAGUCGUAACA
rnacentral:rRNA from 1 species